GACGAACGCUGGCGGCGUGCUUAACACAUGCAAGUCGAACGCUGAAGCUUGGUGCUUGCACUGGGUGGAUGAGUGGCGAACGGGUGAGUAAUACGUGAGUAACCUGCCCUUGACUCUGGGAUAAGCCUGGGAAACUGGGUCCAAUACUGGAUACGACAUGUCACCGCAUGGUGGUGUGUGGAAAGGGUUUUACUGGUUUUGGAUGGGCUCACGGCCUAUCAGCUUGUUGGUGGGGUAAUGGCUCACCAAGGCGACGACGGGUAGCCGGCCUGAGAGGGUGACCGGCCACACUGGGACUGAGACACGGCCCAGACUCCUACGGGAGGCAGCAGUGGGGAAUAUUGCACAAUGGGCGGAAGCCUGAUGCAGCGACGCCGCGUGAGGGAUGACGGCCUUCGGGUUGUAAACCUCUUUCAGCACGGAAGAAGCGAAAGUGACGGUACGUGCAGAAGAAGCGCCGGCUAACUACGU
rnacentral:rRNA from 1 species